CCUACGGGGGGCAGCAGUGGGGAAUUUUCCGCAAUGGGCGAAAGCCUGACGGAGCAAUACCGCGUGAGGGAUGAAGGCCUAUGGGUUGUAAACCUCUUUUUUCAGGGAGGAAUAAAAUGACGUGUACCUGAAGAAUAAGCAUCGGCUAACUCCGUGCCAGCAGCCGCGGUAAGACGGGGGAUGCAAGUGUUAUCCGGAAUCACUGGGCGUAAAGCGUCUGUAGGUGGUUAAAUAAGUCAACUGUUAAAUCUUGAGGCUCAACCUCAAAAUCGCAGUCGAAACUGUUUGACUAGAGUAUAGUAGGGGUAAAGGGAAUUUCCAGUGGAGCGGUGAAAUGCGUAGAGAUUGGAAAGAACACCGAUGGCGAAGGCACUUUACUGGGCUAUUACUAACACUGAGAGACGAAAGCUAGGGUAGCAAAUGGGAUUAGAUACCCCAGUAGUCC
rnacentral:rRNA from 1 species